CCCUCCGCCAAGCGGCCUGGGGUGGCUGCUCCUUCGCCUGCCUCGGCCCUGAGAGUGCACAGGGCGCCGAGGAGCAGGCUCACAGGGGCGCCCCGGUCAGCGCACAGCCAACCAGCGCUCUGCCCCACGGCCUCACACAACCCCAGGCUGCCGUCCACCAGGGAGUUGCUACCACCGCUCCCUCCCAUUUCAGGCUGUGACAAAUUCCCACCACACUCUUCCCUGAAAGACUCAGCACCCCGAGGCACCUAAUAAACAAGACUUAAGUGCGUUCAGGUUAAGGUACACGUGCCAGUCCAGCAAACGACGCUACAAAAUGAGAGCCAGGGUGGAAUCCA